UAGCUCUCUCUCCACCUUGUGAGGACAUGACAAGGAGACAGCCAUCAACAAGCCAGAAAGAGAGUCCUAGCGAAGAACCAAAUCUGCUUGCACCUUGAUCUUGGACCUCGCAGCCUCCAGAAUUCUGAGAGAUAGAUGUUUGUUGUUUAAGCGCCCCAGUCUGUGGUAAUUUGUUAUAGCAGCCGGAGCUAAGACACUACCCCAGAGGAUCUGAUUUGGAGAAGGCAAAAAUCAAAGAAGUUGCCACAGGAGACUGGGACACUUGAUCAAGUUCUCAGUUAUCCACCUGGUGAUCUGCCUCAUGAGUUUCCUGAGGGUGAAGACCUGAGCCUGUUCAUUUAUGGGUAUCACCAGCAGCAUCAUCUGCUUGGCAUGCAAAAGGAUUCUCUCAAAACUAGACAAAUGACUCCCUUAGUACAUGGACUCUGUAGCAUCAAAAUGACCAAUGAUUGGAGUUUUUUGACCAAGCUACUGGACAGAGUGAAGGAGGGAGGAGUGGAGAAGAGACAGGGCUGUUAAAACAGCCCAGUCCAUCAUUCAGUAUCAUGAAGGCUUUGAUGCAUCUCAUAGAUCAGCCUUCCCAUCAUCAUCAUCAUCAUCAUCAUCAUCAUCGCAGCUAAUAUUUACUGAACAUCACGAACUGGGCACUGUGGUGGUGUUACUGAACUGCACUUGGGUCUGCUUGCCCACCACGCAGCAAAGCCAAUCUAAUGACACCGGGUUGUGGUGAAGGAAAGUACAGCAUUUAUUGCAGGGUGCCAAGAAGGAGAACAGGCAGCUGGUACUCAAAAUACCCAAACUCCCCGAUGGCUUCCGGGGAAGGGUUUGUAUAUAUUCUUGUUUCCAGGAGACGUUUGAUGAGUAACUCUCGGUCAACCCAGCAACACAGAGGCUGCCUAAAAGCAUGAAGUGGUGGUGGUGGUGGUGGUGGCAUUGAGGUUGGUGGCACUGGAGCAAUUGUGGAGGAGGUGCUGGUGGAGAAGGAGGAGGUGCUGGAGGCAGUGGAGCUGAUGGUGGUGGCGGCAGCAGAGGUGGUAAAAGAGGAAGAAGAAAUGAAUAAACUGAGUUGUUCUACAAUACUGGAGUAACAACCAUAAGUAGUUUGAUAAUGAGCAUAUAUUUGCAACAUUAAAAGUGCUUUAUGAAUUAUCAAAGAAGGAGUAAAUU